CUUGAAAAAAAAAUCGUGCCGACCGUUGUAACGAGAGGCGGCGAAGGAAUCUGGAAGUAACGUUAUCCUUUCUCGGUGGAAUCCCCAAAAGGAUGGUAAGAAAAAGGAAGGAGCGAGAGAGUAAGAAGAGAAAUAAAAGAAAAAGAAGAGAAGGAGAAAAAGAAGGGCCCACCUUUGCAACUAAUUUGCACGUGAGCUCGUGUCAUACUUCUUUAUCAGCCUGAAAUAGUCGAGCAAGAGGACCCACAAAAUCAUUUUCGAUGUACCGUUAUUCGCGAGAGUAUUGUCGUCAUAAAAGUGUUUUCGUCAUCGACCUAACAAGCUAUCCUACUUCUUUCAUUUUUACAUUCGCCUCUUCGUUCAAACGUCUACGAUAUCGAUCGAACGGAUAUUCCCAAAAUCGGAGUCGUUUGUCAUCGUCGAAAAUAGUCUUUAUCAUUCGUAGCUGACGUAAUAAGUACCUAUAUUUCUUUUCUUAUUAGUAGCUAUAUUUAUUUUAUAAGUUUGACAAAAUUAUAGGAAUAAGAAACGUUUUCAUAUUAUAUAAACAAAUAUUUAUAUAAUACCAUUAGCAAUAAUAUUCUAGUGUUAUAUUUCUCUCAGCAUUUUUCUGAAUUUACAGUGAACAUAAGCAGGAUCGAAAAAAUAAUGGUAAUGAGUUUUCAUUAUCUUAAGAUAAACAUCGACUGCUUUAAGCGCUGGAUAUAUUAAGGAUCGCAUGAAAAAAGCUACCGAACUAAAAACCUCGACACGAUUAUAAAAAUAUAUCGCCAGUAAGCGAACGGACAUCUCAUCAGGAUGUACGGUACUUCAGAAAAAAAUUUCUGCAAAAGGGGAUGAAAAUGCUGAGUAACAAGUUCUCACAUUCACGAGUUGCUUCUUUGCGUAAAACCCAGGAACGGUGAAACGGAGUAAACGACGAGAUUCUUAGAAAAGAGUAACGUUAAAGCAACCCCAAGAGUAACUCGGUAAUAAACAAAGGCCAUUAAACUUACUCAGGCAUAGUUGUAUAUCUGUAAGUGCGGGAGGUAAAUUGUACAGGUGCAGGAAAGUUAAAUUUUUGUUUAAACUUGGUAAGGUAGAAGGUUUAUUUUUGUCACCCGCUUCGUUAAUUACAUUUGGUGUAGGUACAUUCGCAACGUACGUGCGAGGGAACCUGAAUCACAGGAGUCUCGGAAUGGCAAAAAUCUGAGUUGAGAUGAGAGAGAAAGAAAGAGAGAAAGAAAAAGAGAGAAAAGGGAAGAGAAUGAGAGAGGAAGGUGGUAAACGUUCGUACGAAUGGAUGGGAAAAGAAAGGAGAGAGAAAAAAUGCAAAGAGAUGCAAAGAGGUAGUCCGGCUUAUUUACAAGUUCUGCUUGCUUUCAAGAGCUCCCGCCAAAGAAAAAUACCGCUUCGAGUUUCUCGAUACGAGUAGGUAACAAGGAGCACGAAGGUUUGAGGAGUACUAAAUAAUCUACAGAAAAAGAGGGAAACGAAGAGAGAAAAGAAGAAAAAGAGAAGAAGGUUGAUUCUUCCGCAUCGAGAGAAAAAUCGUAAGGACGUCUGAAUCGGUUGUCCCUUGAGAGAAGGAAUAAUUCAUGGAUACUUCUCGUGCAUUCUUUCGUUUGUUCGAGCAUUUCCCUUCGGAUAGGACCGAAGGACGUACUUCCGCGCUUUAUUCCGCAGCUCGUUAAUUCAAUCUUCCUUCCUUCCUUCCUUCGUUGCCUCCCCACAAGAAUCCACAAGACAGGACAGGGGAUUGCCAUAAUCGUCACUGAACAACAAGGGGGUAAAACGUGCCGUCAGAAUUUUUCACCGUCGACAUUUAUGGUAAGCGCAUCUUGAGAUACGGUCCAUUGUACGAUCCUCUUCUACUUUCCUGUCCCUCUCUCACUCUCCCUAUGUGUUUAUUUUGCGUAUAUGAAACAAGAUCGUAACUAAAGUUAAAAAACUAAAGUAACUAAAACUUAAAUGAGUUAUCAUAACGCUUAAAGCGAGAAUAAUUAAUAUUAAUUGUGAUAAUCAUAAUAUAAUACUUACCGAGUAUAGAUGUAUAAUGUACAAACUCUAGAUUCAAUUUUAUUGCUUAAACAUUUUCUAUUCUAAUUUCGAGAUUUCGUUCCACCCGAGAAAGAAUUUUUUUGAUAAAUGUUUCCUCUUUGAUACUUAUAAGAAAUACGUACUCUAUAACGAUUCUAUCCUUCGAGAUCGUCGACGAUAAAAUCACAUGAAUCCACUUUCUUCCGGUAAUUCUCUAGGAUUUUCAAACUUCUUCUUUCUUAAUAUGAGAAGCUUUAGACGUUAAAUUGAAGAGUUUACUUUUGAUAUCGAAAUAUAAUAUCAUAAACGCCCACCACGUUCAAACUCUCGAGUAAAAUCACCUACGUGACGGAAAACGAAGAUAUUAUGUGGAAAUCAAAAAAUUAUAAACUUCGAUAAGAAUUAAUAUUGUAUUCUCAACGUGAACAAAUAAGUUAAUGACCGAUCGUAAUAAUAAAUAUUUAAUAUAAGAAUGAACGACGAAAAAAAAUUCUUUAUUGGAGUAAAUCACCCUUGAAAAAAAUAACCUCCGUGAAAAUAAUACGACCCUGAGGCACACGUAGGAGCAAAAGGAAGUAUCGGUAUCUAGUAAAUAAAAUGCUUCCGUUGCACUUCCCUUCGCCUCGUAGCA